rnacentral:lncRNA from 1 species
CCGCCCCGUCCGGGAGGGAGGUGAGGGGGUCAGCCCCCUGCCCGGCCAGCCGCCCCGUCCGGGAGGUGAGGGACGCCUCUGCCCGGCCGCCCCUGCUGGGAGGUGGGGAGCCCCUCUGCCUGGCCACCACCCCGUCUGAGAGGUGUGCCCAACAGCUCAUUGAGAGCGGGCCGGGAUGACAAUGGCGGCUUUGUGCAAUAGAAAGGGGGGAAGGGUGGGGAAAAGAUUGAGAAAUCGGAUGGUUGCGGUGUCUGUGUAGAAAGAGGUAGACAUGGGAGACUUUUCAUUUUGUUCUGUACUAAGAAAAAUUAUUCUGCCUUGGGAUCCUGUUGAUCUGUGACCUUACCCCCAACCCUGUGCUCUCUGAAACAUGUGCUGCGUCCACUCAUGGUUAAAUGGAUUAAGGGUGGUGCAAGAUGUGCUUUGUUAAACAGAUGCUUGAAGGCAGCAUGCUCGUUAAGAAUCAUCACCACUCCCUAAUCUCAAGUACCCAGGGACACAAACACUGCGGAAGGCCGCUGCCUAGGAGAACCAGAGACCUUUGUUCACUUGUUUAUCUGCUGACCUUCCCUCCACUAUUGUCCUAUGACCCUGCCAAAUCCCCCUCUGUGAGAAACACCCAAGAAUGAUCAAUAAAAAUUAAAAAAAAAAACAAAAAAAAAAAAACAAAAAAAAAAAGAAAAAGCUGACACAGUUCUCUGAAAAAAGCCUAGAGAACACAAGGGUGACACAAACUCCAGAGAGUAUGCUGCUUGCAGCUUUGAUGAUUGUAUCAACAGUGGUAAGUCACCCCAUGUCUGCAGGAGCAGCUGCAGCUAAUUAUACCUACUGGGCCUAUGUGCCUUUCCCACCCUUAAUUCGGGCAGUCACAUGGAUGGAUAAUCCUAUUGAAGUAUAUGUUAAUAAUAGUGCAUGGGUACCUGGCCCCAUAGAGGAUCGUUGCCCUGCCCAACUCGAG